rnacentral:rRNA from 1 species
AGUGAACGCUGGCGGUAGGCCUAACACAUGCAAGUCGAACGGCAGCACAGUAAGAGCUUGCUCUUACGGGUGGCGAGUGGCGGACGGGUGAGGAAUACAUCGGAAUCUACUUUUUCGUGGGGGAUAACGUAGGGAAACUUACGCUAAUACCGCAUACGACCUACGGGUGAAAGCAGGGGAUCUUCGGACCUUGCGCGAUUGAAUGAGCCGAUGUCGGAUUAGCUAGUUGGCGGGGUAAAGGCCCACCAAGGCGACGAUCCGUAGCUGGUCUGAGAGGAUGAUCAGCCACACUGGAACUGAGACACGGUCCAGACUCCUACGGGAGGCAGCAGCGGGGAAUAUUGGACAAUGGGCGCAAGCCUGAUCCAGCCAUACCGCGUGGGUGAAGAAGGCCUUCGGGUUGUAAAGCCCUGUUGUUGGGAAAGAAAAGCAGCAGGUUAAUACCCCGCUGUUCUGACGGUACCCAAAGAAUAAGCACCGGCUAACUUCGUG